rnacentral:rRNA from 1 species
GAUGAACGCUAGCGGCAGGCCUAAUACAUGCAAGACGAACGGUAAGUUGAGUAGCAAUACUUAGCCAAGAGUGUCGUACGGGUGCGUAACACGUAUGCAACCUACCCUAUACAGGAGGAUAGCCUAGGGAAACCUGGAUUAACCCUUCAUAGUAUUAUUGGAUGGCAUCAUUUGAUAAUUAAAACUGAGGUGGUAUAGGAUGGGCAUGCGUCUGAUUAGUUAGUUGGCGGGGUAAUGGCCCACCAAGACGAUGAUCAGUAGGGGUUCUGAGAGGAAGAUCCCCCACACUGGCACUGAGAUACGGGCCAGACUCCUACGGGAGGCAGCAGUAGGGAAUAUUGGUCAAUGGAUGCAAGUCUGAACCAGCCAUGCCGCGUGCAGGAAGAAGGCCUUCUGGGUUGUAAACUGCUUUUGCCAGGGGAUAAAAUUUCCAUGCGUGGAAAACUGAAGGUACCUGGUGAAUAAGCCACGGCUAACUACGUGCCAGCAGCCGCGGUAAUC